CUUUGUACCUGAGGCCUUCCAAAGAAAAAUUUAUAUCUGUACAUGUAUUCUUCAGAGCAGAUAUAUAAUCACCAGCUUAAACUGUAAAAUCCAUCCUAACAGUGCAGAUCUCAGGUAACAAUGCAAAGAACAGAUGAGAGGAGAAAACCAAAUGAAUGCUAUAGAAGUUCCUCAUAGAUGGGCGUUCAGUAUACAGUCUCACAAUCCUCCUGACUGACAAGAACUUGGAUUUUGGGAAGAUGUAGCAGCUACUUCUAAAGGACAUCUGAAUAAAGUUUUCUGAAAUACCACUGUCAACGACAAGUAUAAACACUGACGAAAUUUCAGGACUAUCCCUCUGACGAAACAAGAUACCUUUUCACUUUGGGUAGGGUCCAUAUACACUGGAAUAAACACAUCUCCAUUUCCUGUUCUAUUGCAUGCCUUCAUUUCUUUCUUUCUUUCUUUCUUUGUUUUUCCUUUUUUUUAUUAUUAUUUUUUUUCCUGAGAUGGCAACUAAUGCUGUCUUAUGAAUGGGUGUUUCAAGUAGUAAUAUAGUACAUAAUUAUAGUACAGCAAGUUAAACAGAGUGGUAGACAAGUACCACUCCUGUUGCUGAAAGCAAAUUAAUUGAAAGUCACUAAUAGUAUCUCCACCACCAGCUUGUGACACUUUGAUGGAAAAAAAAAAAAAAUCUUGAAUUUCAUCUAGACUUUCAUUUCUUUCAUCUCCAUUCAAAGCUACUAAUGAAAUAAAUGAUAUUUCUAUUUUUGCUUAUCCAGAUAUAAAUGUGUAAUUCCAUUCAAGUUAUUUGAAACUGAGUUU